GCCACCUCGUAUCUCCUCAAUCCAGACAUGUCCUGGGUUCCGAACGUCUCCUGGGGAGCGGCAUGAUUGGAUCAAGGUUUCCCCAAUCCCGGUUCCCUUCUCUGUCAUUCUCUGGACCAGUCUGACUUGUUCUCGGGAGGUGGAUCAACUCAGAGAGGUGGUAUGUGUGGUAGCUAAGAGUCAGAUUCUGGAGCCCGUCUGCCCAGCCAGGACCCCCAGCUCUGCCACUUUACCGGCCAUCCAGCCUGGGCCUCCAGGGUCCAGCAGGGGGCUGUUCCAGCCACUUCACCAGCACCUGGAUUAUUUUCUUUCUUCCUGAACCUCAGCUUCCCCU